CGUAGGUGGCAAGCGUUAUCCGGAAUUAUUGGGCGUAAAGCGCGCGUAGGCGGUUUCUUAAGUCUGAUGUGAAAGCCCACGGCCCAACCGUGGAGGGUCAUUGGAAAACUGGGAAACUUGAGUGCAGAAGAGGAAAAGUGGAAUUCCAUGUGUAGCGGUGAAAUGCGCAGAGAUAUGGAGGAACACCAGUGGCGAAGGCGACUUUCUGGUCUGUAACUGACGCUGAUGUGCGAAAGACGUGGGGGAGUCAAACAGGAUU
rnacentral:rRNA from 1 species